rnacentral:sRNA from 1 species
UGACGGAGUUUUCCAUAGGCAGCCCA